AUGUGUUUGAAUAGAAAUGUCUUGGUAGAUGGCGGAAUUACUGCAACCAACUCCACAAAACCUGAUUCUGUCUGGGCGGCACUUGGAGGGUUGAGAUGCAGGUGCAAUUCAAGCUGCCAUAUGGACAAUAUACUAGUUCAAAAUACGUUUGUGCUCCUGGCUUUAGAUGUUGAAGUCUUUUGCAUAUUGUUAUGUUUGGUUAGUAAAUUUGAAUGGCCGUUAAGUUAUUUCACUACUAAGCCCUGUGAUGACAUUGUGAGAAUGCAAGGGGCUGACCCGUACCAAGAGGGGGCAUGUUGUAUUAUGUACUACUAA
rnacentral:rRNA from 1 species